AAAAAAGUAAAGGACGGUAACAAUAAGACAGGGAAAACAUGCAAGUUUUAUGACGAGCUGGAUAGGCACCGACCAGCCUCCGCUCCAUCUUUCGUUGACACCAGGAAAAGGUGGAUGAGGUCGUGGAGGAUACAGAGACGAUGGCAGUCAGAUCCAGCCACAGUCUCCAGUGGAGAGUGCGGAUGAUGUGGCCGAUACUGAGGGAGAGCCCAGUACCUCUGGAAAUGGGAAAUAGAUGAUUGUACUCCCCCCACCAACAAAGAAAAGCAGGAAAAACAAAACCGAAAAGGGAAGCAGCUGGAGACAUUUCUGGGCUACCAGAGAGAAGCAGAGGAAAGGUUUGAGAAAAGAGAGGAGGAAAGAUGGGAGAGAGAGAGAAAGUUAGCGGAAACAACAAGAAAGGAGGAACAGACGCACCAACUCAACAUGAUUGAAAUGCUUGGACAAAUGAUACGGCAACCAGGACCAUCACAGUAUUAUCCACCAUCAUCGCAACCAUUUAACUCUGACUCACAGUACGACUACUAACUUUUAAACAUCAAACAUUAAUCAUACAGUCAUAAUUAUAACAAUAAAAUAAUGAUGCGUAUGAUAACAUAAGUUCACAUAAUUAUCAUGUACUACUCCUUAUUUGGUUACCACUAAUAUCUACUGAGCCGACUGUCUAAUCUCGCUAAAGGAUGAGUCACGAGAUUCUCCACAAACUUCACAGAUAUCCGACUAGAAAAACAUUUGCAAUGUGAAAAAUUGCUAGGAUUGGCCAGGGGAACCACAAAAAAGCGUGGGAACAAGAAAUCAGACGAGAGCAUAACUCCAAUCCGUUACAACGUCAAUCACAUGUAUACUGGUAGUUUUCCCAUGUUUUCCCAGCCAAUAUGCCACGCAAUUUUUACUGGUGGAGUGAUGACCAAUCCCUAUAUAUAUUUAUUAUACAUCCAUUUUAGAAUGUGGGGCACAUAAUCAUGAUGAUUUGUGAUGAAUUGAUGUUCCUAAUACAUGCAGUGUUGAGCACAGGUACACACAGUCCAUCCAUACGUAGUAACAUGCACGGACCGUACUGGUGACUGCAUGGAAUGAUAAAGUGGUGGAUGGAAGCUGAUAGGUGGAUCUGGAACACAGUCUAUUAUUUAAUAUACUAUGUAUUGUACAUGUUCAUGACGUUGUAACGGAUUGGAGUUAUGCUCUCGUCUGAUUUCUUGUUCCCACGCUUUUUUGUGGUUCCCCUGGCCAAUCCUAGCAAUUUUUCACAUUGCAAAUGUUUUUCUAGUCGGAUUCCCUUUCUUUUUCAGUACAGUUUAUGUAUCAUGACAUGCAUAAGUGGAACGUCAAGAGGCAGUACAAGAAGAGAAGACAGGACUAAUCAGAUAUCUUCUGGAAUACUGGACUAAUAAUUAUAGUAUAAUGAGUAAUAAUUUAUUGCUUGAUAAUUAUGUUGAAUUUGCUAAUCAGUAUUAAA